rnacentral:rRNA from 1 species
UACAGGGGGGUGCAAGCGUUGCUCGGAAUACUGGGCGUAAAGCGAGCGCAGGCGGCCGAUUAAGUCAGAGGUGAAAGCCCGGGGCUCAACCCCGGAAAUGCCUUUGAAACUGGUAGGCUUGAAUGCAGGAGAGGGUCGCGGAAUUCUUGGUGUAGAGGUGAAAUGCGUAGAGAUCGGGAGGAACAUCUGUGGCGAAGGCGGCCAUCUGGACCAGCACUGACACUGAGGCACGAAAGCGUGGGGAGCGAACAGG